AUUGAACGCUGGCGGCAUGCUUUACACAUGCAAGUCGAACGGCAGCGCGGGCUUCGGCCUGGCGGCGAGUGGCGAACGGGUGAGUAAUGCAUCGGAACGUGCCCAGUAGUGGGGGAUAGCCCGGCGAAAGCCGGAUUAAUACCGCAUACGACCUGAGGGUGAAAGGGGGGGACCGAAAGGCCUCGCGCUAUUGGGGCGGCCGAUGUCGGAUUAGCUAGUUGGUGGGGUAAAGGCUUACCAAGGCGACGAUCCGUAGCUGGUCUGAGAGGACGACCAGCCACACUGGGACUGAGACACGGCCCAGACUCCUACGGGAGGCAGCAGUGGGGAAUUUUGGACAAUGGGGGCAACCCUGAUCCAGCCAUGCCGCGUGCGGGAAGAAGGCCUUCGGGUUGUAAACCGCUUUUGUUCGGGAAGAAAUCCUCUGGGCUAAUACCCCGGGGGGAUGACGGUACCGGAAGAAUAAGCACCGGCUAACUACGUG
rnacentral:rRNA from 1 species